GUCUGCAGACAUAGCACCCUGAAAGAGCCCAAUCUUGUCUGAUCUUGGAAGCUUAGCAGGGUCAGUCCUGGUUAGUACUUGGAUGGGAGACUGGCUGGGAGAAAUGUAGGGUAAUAGGAA
rnacentral:rRNA from 1 species